UACGUAGGGGGCAAGCGUUGUCCGGAAUUAUUGGGCGUAAAGCGCGCGCAGGCGGUCAUUUAAGUCUGGUGUUUAAUCCUGGGGCUCAACCCCAGUUCGCAUCGGAAACUGGAUGACUUGAGUGUAGGGGAGGAAAGUGGAAUUCCACGUGUAGCGGUGAAAUGCGUAGAGAUGUGGAGGAACACCAGUGGCGAAGGCGACUUCUGGCCGUAUAACU
rnacentral:rRNA from 1 species